rnacentral:snRNA from 1 species
UGCUUGAAAUUGUCGGGAGG